rnacentral:lncRNA from 1 species
NNNNNNNNNNNNNNNNNNNNNNNNNNNNNNNNNCCUCAGCCUCCCAAGUAGCUUGGAUUACAGGUGCCAGCUGAGACUUUGAAUUCUAUCUUCUGACUCCCAAGUGCAGUGUUCUUUUUACUAUAACAUGCCAGUCAUGAAUGAUUCUCUGCUGCUGGAUGUCUCUAGAUAAAAAUCUGGAAAUUGUCAGAAGAUACACACUGGCUGAUUGGUACCCUUUCACCUUCACUGUUCAAGGUGGAACAAUAAUCUCUAAGAUAGUAGGUAAACAACAUCAUUCUUUAGAAAUAAAGGUCAACACAUUAAAUUGCACAUACUUCUCAUGAAACCACCAAGAGACAUAUGUCUUAUAAGCAUUGCAUAAGGUAUUGUCAGAUAUGAAUGCUUUCCUUACCAUGACCAAAUGGAGGCAUUGCUGCAUUUCUCCAGAGAAUUAUAUAUGGAUUUCCAAUGUUGGGUGACUGGUCCUUAAAAAUCUAAAUUAAACUAUAUUCUCAAAUAUAAAAUAAGCCCUUUUCUUUGGCCUCUCUAAAAUCCACGAAAACUUUCCUUUUCACAUACAAUGGUGAGUUUUCCAGAUCUGCCUGCCUGCCCUUUCAUUCUGAUUGUGAAUGUUCCGGUUCAACUCCCAUUUCUGCAAUAAAACUGCUUGUUAAAAAAAAAUUGUCAGCAACUCUUAACCCGUUUGCUUCUGCUUCCUCUGGUCACAGACAGCAAUUGGACAGACUCCUGAUCUAAACACUGAGUUUGUCCAAUUAAAGUGCCUCAAGUACUAAUUCAUGGGGGAUAGAGGGUGUAUUAUUUUGUUUCUAAAGCAAUUUUUCUAUCCUGCAGACAUUUUACAUUAAUCUCCUUAGGCUACUUACUCUUUGCUGGUGUCGGAUUAGAACUCAGAUCCGUCUGAAUCCAAAUCUAUGUCCCUCUGACUGC